UACAGAGGGUGCGAGCGUUAAUCGGAAUUACUGGGCGUAAAGCGUGCGUAGACGGUUAUUUAAGUCGGGUGUGAAAGCCCCGGGCUCAACCUGGGAAUUGCAUUCGAGACUGAAUAGCUAGGGAACGGUAGAGGGAAGUGGAAUUUCCGGUGUAGCGGUGAAAUGCGUAGAUAUCGGAAGGAACAUCAGUGGCGAAAGCGACUUCCUGGACCAGUACCGACGUUCAGGCACGAAAGCGUGGGGAGCAAACAGG
rnacentral:rRNA from 1 species